AAGUUAUAUUGGUCGUCGAGUAAUAAUAGCUAUUGCGUGUAUAUUUUUUAUACAACCGGAACAUAAUACACGAUACAUACGCAAAUAUCAUGAAGGUCUGACGCAUUAAUCCAGCCUGAAUUCUGGUUCCAUCUGGAGCCUAUUGUGGUCUUAUCCACGAAAUACUGCAAACUCCGCUGACCUUUACAAACUUUACUUUGAAACUUCACGCAGGCGGAUGUGACGCACCAUUGCGUCAAAGUAUACUCGUAAACAAGGGCAAGAGAAAGGGAAGGGGCGGAAUUACUCGAAUUUGACUGACCGCUGCUGGUGGUUGGAGCUAGCUUGUUACUCCUCGGCGUGGGGCUUUUUGGCCAUGGCCUGUGAUGUUUCCGUCAAGAUGGAUAGCCACCGGCUCCAGAAGAUGACAAACUGUCAUGCAGGUGACCAUGUUAAGGCUGCACCAUAUGUAAAUUCAGGGGCUGAUAUGGAUAUAACUGCUAUUCAGCGGACGCCGAUGCCUCCCUGUUUUACAUAAAUGGAGGUUGAAACAAAGUCUCUACAUUCAUGAAAGAAGUAGAUGAGCACGGAUACCAACGUCAGCUUUGCUUACUUUAUUUUUAAGCAGUGAGCCUGAGUCUAGAGAGCUACCGAGUGUCUGUAUAUCUUUGCUUGUGAGUUUGGCUUUUUAAAAAAUGAUUCAUUAAAAGUGAAUGAGCAAGAG